rnacentral:rRNA from 1 species
AUUGAACGCUGGCGGCAGGCCUAACACAUGCAAGUCGAACGAGUGGCGGACGGGUGAGUAAUGUCUGGGAAACUGCCUGAUGGAGGGGGAUAACUACUGGAACCGGUAGCUAAUACCGCAUACCAUCGGAUUUGCCCAGAUGGGAUUAGCUAGUAGGUGGGGUAAAUGCUCACCUAGGCGACGAUCCCUAGCUGGUCUGAGAGGAUGCCCAGCCACACUGGAACUGAGACACGGGCCAGACUCCUACGUGAGGCAGGAGUGGGGAAUAUUGCACAAGGGGCGCAAGCCUGAUGCAGCCAUGCCGCGUGUAUGAAGAAGGCCUUCGGGUUGUAAAGUACUUGCAGCGGGGAGGCGUUACCCGCAGAAGAAGCACCGGCUAACUCCGUGCCAGCAGCCGCGGUAAUAC